rnacentral:rRNA from 1 species
AUUGAACGCUGGCGGCAUGCCUUACACAUGCAAGUCGAACGGCAGCACGGGUGCUUGCACCUGGUGGCGAGUGGCGAACGGGUGAGUAAUACAUCGGAACAUGUCCUGUAGUGGGGGAUAGCCCGGCGAAAGCCGGAUUAAUACCGCAUACGAUCUACGGAUGAAAGGGGGGGACCUUCGGGCCUCGCGCUAUAGGGUUGGCCGAUGGCUGAUUAGCUAGUUGGUGGGGUAAAGGCCUACCAAGGCGACGAUCAGUAGCUGGUCUGAGAGGACGACCAGCCACACUGGGACUGAGGCACGGCCCAGACUCCUACGGGAGGCAGCAGUGGGGAAUUUUGGACAAUGGGCGAAAGCCUGAUCCAGCAAUGCCGCGUGUGUGAAGAAGGCCUUCGGGUUGUAAAGCACUUUUGUCCGGAAAGAAAUCCUUGGCCCUAAUACGGUCGGGGGAUGACGGUACCGGAAGAAUAAGCACCGGCUAACUACGUG